rnacentral:rRNA from 1 species
UACGAAGGGGGCUAGCGUUGCUCGGAAUCACUGGGCGUAAAGGGUGCGUAGGCGGGUUUUUAAGUCAGGGGGGAAAUCCUGGAGCUCAACUCCAGAACUGCCGUUGAUACUGAGGAUCUUGAGUUCGGGAGAGGUGAGUGGAACUGCGAGUGUAGAGGUGAAAUUCGUAGAUAUUCGCAAGAACACCAGUGGCGAAGGCGGCUCUCUAGUACGGUACUGACGCUGAGACGCGAAAGCGUGGGGAGCGAACAGG